rnacentral:rRNA from 1 species
GUUAGGGCACGACACCGGAGAGGGAGCCUGAGAAACGGCUACCACAUCCAAGGAUGGCAGCAGGCGCGCAAAUUACCCAAUCCCGACACGGGGAGGUAGUGACAAUAAAUAACAAUACGGGGUUCUUUAGGAUCUCGUAAUUGGAAUGAGUACAAUUUAAAUCUCUUAACGAGGAACAAUUGGAGGGCAAGUCUGGUGCCAGCAGCCGCGGUAAUUCCAGCUCCAAUAGCGUAUAUUAAAGUUGUUGCAGUUAAAAAGCUCGUAGUUGAAUUUCGGGGUUAGUAGGUUGGUCAUGCCUCUGGUAUGUACUGGUCUCACUGAUUCCUCCUUCCUGAUGAACCUUAAUGCCAUUUAUUUGGUGUUUUGGGGAAUUUGGACUGUUACUUUGAAAAAAUUAGAGUGUUUAAAGCAAGCUAACGCUUGAAUACAUUAGCAUGGAAUAAUGAAAUAGGACGUUCGAUCCUAUUUUGUUGGUUUCUAGGAUUGACGUAAUGAUUAAUAGGGAUGGUUGGGGGCAUUAGUAUUCAAUUGUCAGAGGUGAAAUUCUUGGAUUUAUUGAAGACUAACUACUGCGAAAGCAUUUGCCAAGGAUGUUUUCAUUAAUCAAGAACGAAAGUUAGGGGAUCGAAGACGAUCAGAUACCGUCGUAGUCUUAACCAUAAACUAUGCCGACUAGGAUCGGAUGAUGUUAAUUUUUUAAUGACUCAUCGGCGCCUUACGGGAAACC